rnacentral:rRNA from 1 species
GAUGAACGCUGGCGGCGUGCCUAACACAUGCAAGUCGAGCGACGAACCGGGGCUUUCCCUGGUGCAAAGCUGCGGACGGGUGAGUAACACAUAGGUAACUUACCCCGCUAACAGGGUCAACUCGCGGAAACUCACGCGAACACCUGCCGUGCACACUGUUCUACCGUUUAGUUCGUUAGUGAAGCUCCGUUCUGCUUAUCCUGAUGGGUGCAUCCGCGCCGCAUUAGCUGGUUGGUUAGGUAACGGCUUACCAAGGCAACGAUGGGUAGCCGGCCUGAGAGGAUGAUCAGCCACACUGGGACUGAGACACGGCCCAGACUCCUACGGGAGGCAGCAGUGGGGAAUCUUGCGCAAUGGGCGAAAGCGUGACGCAGCAACGCCGCGUGAGUGAAGAAGGCCUUCGGAUCGUAAACCCCUGUUAGGAGGGAAGAAGGAAUGGGGGUGAAUAGACGCCCGGACUGACGGUACCUAAACAAGAAGCCACGGCUAACUACGUG